GACGUAGGGCGCGAGCGUUGUCCGGAUUUAUUGGGCGUAAAGAGCUCGUAGGCGGCUUGUCGCGUCGACUGUGAAAACCCGCGGCUCAACUGCGGGCCUGCAGCCGAUACGGGCAGGCUAGAGUUCGGUAGGGGAGACUGGAAUUCCUGGUGUAGCGGUGGAAAUGACGCAGAUAUCAGGAGGAACACCCGGGUGGGCGAAAGGCGGGGUCUCUGGGCCGAUACUGACGCUGGAGGAGCGAAAAGCGUGGGGAGCGAACAGG
rnacentral:rRNA from 1 species